AAUUUUGGACAAUGGGGGAAACCCUGAUCCAGCCAUCCCGCGUGUAUGAUGAAGGCCUUCGGGUUGUAAAGUACUUUUGGCAGAGAAGAAAAGGUAUCUCCUAAUACGAGAUACUGCUGACGGUAUCUGCAGAAUAAGCACCGGCUAACUACGUGCCAGCAGCCGCGGUAAUACGUAGGGUGCAAGCGUUAAUCGGAAUUACUGGGCGUAAAGCGUUGGAAGGCGGUUCGGAAAGAAAAAUGUAAAACCCCAGGGCUAAACUUUGAAACGGAAUUUUAAACGGCGGGGCAGGAGAAUGUAAGAGGGGGGUGAAUUCCCACGUGUGGCGUGGAAUGCCUUAAUAAGUUGAGGGAUUCCGAUUGCCGAGGCAGCCCCCCUGGAUAAUACUGACGCUCAGAACCCAAAGGCUGGGGAGCAAACA
rnacentral:rRNA from 1 species